ensembl:ncRNA F09F9.13 ncRNA
UCAUUUUCCCGGACGUAUCACUACAUCACCGGGAUCCUUCAUUCUUUAGCGCAAAAAAGUGAUGGAAAGUGUAAAAAUCUUCCGUCACUACGGGUGGGUGUUCAUAAAACAAAUGCGUUGUCAGAAAUGAUG